CGGCCCUCCGCCCCGUCCGACUGGGGUGCUUUCCCUUACCCUUUGCCUAUUAUACCUCUGUACGUCCCUUCGGCCUUGGGUGCACCCAGCCGAAGGGCCUUGAUAAACCUCUUUGUCGAAAGCCGUUUUCUUCUGAUUGUGGGCGUAUUGAAUUUACAACUUUCAACAAUGGAUCUCUUGGCUCUGGCAUCGAUGAAGAACGCAGCGAAAUGCGAUAACGUAGUGUGAAUUGCAGAUUCCAGUGAAUCAUCGAAUCUUUGAACGCACAUUGCGCCCCUUGGUAUUCCAAAGGGCAUGCCUGUUCGAGCGUCAUGGACACCCUCAAGCUCUGCUUGGUGUUGGGCGGCUGUUCCCCGCAUUGCGUGAGGGCACUCGCCUCAAAGGCAUUGGCAGCUGGGCUGUCUGCCCCUCUCUGCGCCGUAGCUUUUGCGCGCAACGGGUGGGCCGGCAGCCGUAGCAAACCAGCAAGCAUGAACCAGCUUUUGACCUCGAAUCAGGUAGGAGUACCCGCUGAACUUAAGCAUAUCAAUAAGCGGAGGA
rnacentral:rRNA from 1 species